GUAGGGAAUCUUCGGCAAUGGGCGAAAGCCUGACCGAGCAACGCCGCGUGAAUGAUGAAGGCCUUCGGGUUGUAAAAUUCUGUUAUAAGGGAAGAACGACUUUAGUAGGAAAUGGCUAGAGUGUGACGGUACCUUAUGAGAAAGCCACGGCUAACUACGUGCCAGCAGCCGCGGUAAUACGUAGGUGGCGAGCGUUAUCCGGAAUUAUUGGGCGUAAAGAGCGCGCAGGUGGUUGAUUAAGUCUGAUGUGAAAGCCCACGGCUUAACCGUGGAGGGUCAUUGGAAACUGGUCGACUUGAGUGCAGAAGAGGGAAGUGGAAUUCCAUGUGUAGCGGUGAAAUGCGUAGAGAUAUGGAGGAACACCAGUGGCGAAGGCGGCUUCCUGGUCUGUAACUGACACUGAGGCGCGAAAGCGUGGGGAGCAAACAGGAUUAGAAACCCGAGUAGUCC
rnacentral:rRNA from 2 species